rnacentral:RNase_P_RNA from 1 species
CCAGGGGGCCGGGCAGCCGCGUGACUUCGGUCACGAGGAAAGUCCGGGCUCCACGAAACAAGGGUGGCGGGUAACGCCCGCCCGGCGCAAGUCGAGGGAAAGUGCCACAGAGAGCAUACCGCCGAUGGCUCCUUCGGGAGAUCAGGCAAGGGUGAAAGGGUGCGGUAAGAGCGCACCGGGGCUUCGGCAACGCGGUCCGCAUGGCAAACCCCACCCGGAGCAAGGCCGAAUAGGGGCGGCGCGCUCUCGCAAGAGGGCAGGUGCGUUUCGCAUCGACCGCCCGGGUUGGCUGCUUGAGUCAUGGAGCGAUCCAUGGCCUAGACGAAUGGCUGCCGCCGCAGAUACGGUCCGCUCGUCGGAUACCGUCUGUGGAGACAGAACCCGGCUUACAGGCCCCCUGGCAUU